AACUUUUAACAACGGAUCUCUUGGUUCUCGCAUCGAUGAAGAACGUAGCAAAGUGCGAUAACUAGUGUGAAUUGCAUAUUCAGUGAAUCAUCGAGUCUUUGAACGCAACUUGCGCUCAUUG
rnacentral:rRNA from 1 species